AAUCAGGAAACAUGCGGGCAAGCGCCGCCCAACCCCGCCAGGUUCGGAAGGAAGCAACGGUCAGCGGAGGCUUGCAGCGCCGUGUCCAUCUUGAUUGCA
rnacentral:SRP_RNA from 1 species